AAGCUAUCCAAAAUCUGUUUUGAGUGUGAGGGACAGCAUCUUAGGUACUGUAGCUCUUUUAGUUCUGGCUAAAAUGUAGAAUGUAUUCCUAAUUCCACUGAUAUGGAAACCAUCAGCCCCUGCUGCAUUGAGGUGAUGCUAACCAAUUUGACUCUCAAGACGUCAGCAACAGUUUCAUCACCAGGAAUGCUGUGGGGAGCCUCCAAUUUCAUAUCUUCUCCAUAAUAAUGAAAAGAAGAAGGAAGGAAGGAAGGAAGGAAGGAAGGAAGAAGAGCCCAUGGACUUCUAAUCACAUUUAAUUGUAUCCAUUUUUCUCUCUCACCCUCAUCUUUUCUUUCUCUUUGUUUUCUUUCAUCCAUAACUUCUACAUUUUGUAGGAUCUCAUCUUUAUGUAUUCAAAAACAUAGCCAUGUUAGUCUGUAAAACCAAUAUGUGAAGAUAUCUUGUAGCACCUUUGAGACUAACUGAAAGAAAUUGGCAUCUAAGGAAGUAGACUUAAGGCUAUGAAAGCGCAUGCUGCCAAUUUCUUUCAGUCGGUCUCAAAGGCUCUACAAGAUCUUUUCACAGACUUUUAUGCAUGAUACCUGCAAAACGCCAUAUGCAUUGAUGGUAUAGAAAAUAUAAAGCUCUUCUUUCUGUGCUUUUUUGGUACAACUCAUUCUGGCCCUAUCCACAGCAAGCCAGUCACUUGGCUUGUGGGAGAAAAAAGCAGGGCAUAUUUCCUGCCUCUGCAGAGUCUAUUGAUAGCAACAGGGGCAUCCUGUGGCUUUCAUGUCAAGUGUGUGGUGAAUCCGCCUUUGCUUUUAUUCAUUGAAAGUCCUGGAUCCUGCCCCCCAGAUAGAUUCAUCAUCUUGGAUAGUGCCUAUGAAAUAAGGAUUAAAACCCAACUCUAUGAUUCUAUGAAAAUUUGACUACAUUUCUGACAAAGAAGCUUUCAGCCUUGAUAGCCAAGGAGAAUGAAAACAGGAAACGCUGCACAUCUUUGAGACCUAUUUACUGUAUUUCAGCAUGAGCUUUCAUGGAUACCAAUCAACAUUUUCGGAUGCACUGAUGGAGUAUAAAACUAUAUACUUGUGUGCCUUCAAGUCAUUUCCGACUCAUGACAACCUGAAGGCAACCCUCUCAUGGGGUUUUAUUGGCAUGAUUUCUUCAGAGGGGGAUAGUCAUGAUCUUCCUCAGAGGCUGAGAGUGUGUGAUUUAGACAUAGGUGUUUAAGAACAGCUAUAUAAUUGUGGGAGUAGGAUCAGAAUGUAAUAGGAUACAGAAAAAGGCAAACUGUGACCUUGACCAUAAAUCUUUAAAGAGGUGUAUGAGUUCAUUGAAUUUGUAAAUAUAUCUCAGUUCUUCUGUUUCUCUUAUGAUGUUUAUAGCUAGUGGAGGGGGCAAAUCUUUCAGAGAAUAAUACACAUUUGUUAUAAGGGCAACAUGCACAGAGCAUCUAUAUCCAGACUGUACUUCAGCUGGCUUCAAUACCACCAUAUAUUGAUACAUUAUGAUCAUUUUGGUAUGUGUGUUUGGAAGCACCCCUGGUUUUAAGGACAGAAGACCAUGUGAAAUAGUAUAUUUGUAGGUUCCUGACAGUUGCUUAGAAGGGAUGGAGCCAGCCUGACUUUCUUUAGGAAACAGUUUCACAGUUGAAGAUAACAGUAAAGAAAAAGCCUGUUACAUGGACUCAUCAACUUAGCCUGGGAAGGGGGGCACACAAUUGGAUCAAGUAUAGUAAAACAGCAACCCUAAUCACCAGACAUGCUCUCUGAGGCUGAUGAGAGAUGUGUUUCAAAACACAGCAUCUCUAGAUAAUGCCCCUUUAAAUUGUUUCUCCUGCUUAUAAAAGAAACAUGUAAGAAAAUGCUAGCAAGAAACUCAUAUAGUUAAUGAACCUAUGGACAUAAUCUAUUGGCAUUCCAGUGUAAGUCAGAGUUUACAGUGAUAAGCAAAUGCUCCCCCAU